rnacentral:rRNA from 1 species
GAUGAACGCUGGCGGCGUGCUUAACACAUGCAAGUCGAACGAAGCACUUUAUUUGAUUUCCUUCGGGACUGAUUAUUUUGUGACUGAGUGGCGGACGGGUGAGUAACGCGUGGGUAACCUGCCUUGUACAGGGGGAUAACAGUUGGAAACGGCUGCUAAUACCGCAUAAGCGCCCAGCAUCGCAUGAUGCAGUGUGUAAAACUCCGGUGGUAUAAGAUGGACCCGCGUUGGAUUAGCUAGUUGGUGAGGUAACGGCCCACCAAGGCGACGAUCCAUAGCCGACCUGAGAGGGUGACCGGCGACAUUGGGACUGAGACACGGCCCAAACUCCUACGGGAGGCAGCAAUGGGGAAUAUUGCACAAUGGGCGAAAGCCUGAUGCAGCGACGCCGCGUGAGCGAAGAAGUAUUUCGGGAUGUAAAGCUCUAUCAGCAGGGAAGAUAAUGACGGUACCUGACUAAGAAGCACCGGCUAAAUACGUG